GGCAAUGGUUGCUGUAAUCUGUGGUGUAUCGUACGCGGUGGAGGAAGCUCAUGACAAGCUGGUAGUUCUAUCCAAGGAUGAGAAGACCAGAGAAAUUGUCAACAACCUUCUGGAUAUGGUGAGAAAUUACUUGGAAGAGAUUAGUCUGGUUGGUGAAAUUCUCAAGAAGAUGAAGAGUGGGACUGCAUGGGUAAUCGGCAAGAUCGGCAACGGCACUGUUUGGAUUGUUGGGGAGAUUGGCAAUGGAGCU
rnacentral:lncRNA from 1 species